rnacentral:rRNA from 1 species
UACGUAGGGUGCAAGCGUUAAUCGGAAUUACUGGGCGUAAAGCGUGCGCAGGCGGUUAUGCAAGACAGAUGUGAAAUCCCCGGGCUUAACCUGGGAACCGCAUUUGUGACUGCAUAGCUGGAGUACGGCAGAGGGGGAUGGAAUUCCGCGUGUAGCAGUGAAAUGCGUAGAUAUGCGGAGGAACACCGAUGGCGAAGGCAGUCCCCUGGGUCGAUACUGACGCUGAGGUGCGAAAGCGUGGGGAGCAAACAGG